rnacentral:rRNA from 1 species
GACGAACGCUGGCGGCGUGCCUAAUACAUGCAAGUUGAGCGCUGAAGGUUGGUACUUGUACCAACUGGAUGAGCAGCGAACGGGUGAGUAACGCGUGGGGAAUCUGCCUUUGAGCGGGGGACAACAUUUGGAAACGAAUGCUAAUACCGCAUAAAAACUUUAAACACAAGUUUUAAGUUUGAAAGAUGCAAUUGCAUCACUCAAAGAUGAUCCCGCGUUGUAUUAGCUAGUUGGUGAGGUAAAGGCUCACCAAGGCGAUGAUACAUAGCCGACCUGAGAGGAUGACCGGCAAAAUUGGAAUGGAGCCACGGCCAAGACCCCUAGGGGAGGCAGAAGUGGGGAAUAUGGGAAAAGGGGCGAAAGCUGGAUCCAGCCAGACCGGGGGGGUGAAGAAGGUUUUGGGGUUGAAAACCCUUUUGGUAGGGAAAGAAAAGGAGGAGGGUAAAAACCCGAUGAGGUGACGGUACCCACAGAAAAAGAAACGGCUAACUUCGUG